rnacentral:rRNA from 1 species
AACGAACGCUGGCGGCAUGCCUUACACAUGCAAGUCGAACGGCAGCACGGGUGCUUGCACCUGGUGGCGAGUGGCGAACGGGUGAGUAAUACAUCGGAACGUACCUUAUCGUGGGGGAUAACGCAGCGAAAGCUGUGCUAAUACCGCAUACGCCCUGAGGGGGAAAGCGGGGGAUCGCAAGACCUCGCGCGAUUAGAGCGGCCGAUGCCUGAUUAGCUUGUGGGUGGGGUAAAAGCCCCCCAAGGCGACGAUCAGUAGCUGGUCUGAGAGGACGAUCAGCCACACUGGGACUGAGACACGGCCCAGACUCCUACGGGAGGCAGCAGUGGGGAAUUUUGGACAAUGGGGGCAACCCUGAUCCAGCAAUGCCGCGUGAGUGAAGAAGGCCUUCGGGUUGUAAAGCUCUUUUGUCAGGGAAGAAACACCGGCUCUAACACAGUCCGGGAAUGACGGUACCUGAAGAAUAAGCACCGGCUAACUACGUGCCAGCCGCCGCUGUAA